CCUACGGGGGGCUGCAGUGGGGAAUAUUUCACAAUGGGCGAAAGCCUGAUGCAUCGACGCCCCUUGAGCAAAGAAUGCCUUCGGGUCGUAAAGCUCUGUCCUAUGGGAAGAAGAAUGACGGUACCAUAGGAUGAAGCCCCGGCUAACUACGUGCCAGCAGCCGCGGUAAUACGUAGGGGGCGAGAGUUGUCCGGAAUUACUUGGCGUAAAGGUUACGUAGGCGGCUAAAUAAGUCAGAUGUGAAAGACAUAGGCUUAACCUGAGUAAUUCUUUGAAACUGCGUCGGUUGAGUCAAGGAAAGGCAAGUGGACUUCCUGGUGUAGCGGUGAAAUGCGCAGAUAUCAGGAGGAAUACCAGUGGCGAAGGCGACUUUCUCGACUUAGACUGACGCUGAGGUACGAAAGCGUAGGGAGCAAACAGGAUUAGAUACCCUUGUAGUC
rnacentral:rRNA from 1 species